GUGAGGAAUUUUCCGCAAUGGGCGAAAGCCUGACGGAGCAAUGCCGCGUGAAGGAUGAAGGCCUAUGGGUUGUAAACUUCUUUUCUCAGAAAAGAAUUAUGACGGUAUCUGAGGAAUAAGCAUCGGCUAACUCUGUGCCAGCAGCCGCGGUAAGACAGAGGAUGCAAGCGUUAUCCGGAAUGAUUGGGCUUAAAGCGUCUGUAGGUUGUUUAAAAAGUAUUCUGUCAAAGAUUAGGGCUUAACCCUAGAUAGGCAGAAUAAACUUUUAAGCUAGAGUUUGGUAGAGGCAGAGGGAAUUCCCGGUGGAGCGGUGAAAUGCGUAGAUAUCGGGAGGAACACCAAUGGCGAAGGCACUCUGCUGGGCCAAUACUAACACUGAGAGACGAAAGCGAGGGGAGCAAAUGGGAUUAGAAACCCUAGUAGUCC
rnacentral:rRNA from 1 species